GUAGGUGGCAAGCGUUGUCCGGAAUUAUUGGGCGUAAAGCGCGCGCAGGCGGUUCUUUAAGUCUGAUGUGAAAGCCCACGGGCUCAACCGUGGAGGGUCAUUGGAAACUGGAGAACUUGAGUACAGAAGAGGAAAGCGGAAUUCCACGUGUAGCGGUGAAAUGCGUAGAGAUGUGGAGGAACACCAGUGGCGAAGGCGGCUUUCUGGUCUGUAACUGACGCUGAGGCGCGAAAGCGUGGGGAGCAAACAAGAUUAGAUACCCUGGUAGUCCACGCCGUAAACGAUGAGUGCUAAGUGUUAGGGGGUUUCCGCCCCUUAGUGCUGCAGCUAACGCGUUAAGCACUCCGCCUGGGGAGUACGGCCGCAAAGGCUG
rnacentral:rRNA from 1 species